GUGUGGGAAGUUAAUGCGGUAAUACCCAGCCCAAGAGCCUGAGUAUCAGGCUCUUUUUAAGUGAAGCCCCUGACACAGGGAGACUGCAAAUAUUAAAGGUAUUUCAGUAGAAGUCUUGGAGUGCAUUUUCAUUGAUUAAGGGGGAAAAAUGACUACUCUUAAAAGUUUAGAAACCAAAGUGACCCUUACUUCAACCCCAAUCCGUGGAGCAGGAGAUGGAAUGGAAACUGAGGAGCCACCUAAAUCUGUUGAAGUUGUUUCUAGAGUCCAAUCCAGAAAACAUCAUAUCCCUCAGAGUCCCUGGAAGAAACCUGUUCCAUCAGAGAGCCCAGGAAUUCUUCAGUUAGAGGAAAUUCUCACUGAAAAAGCUGUGGAAGUCAAAGCUAUAAGAAUAUUAGUUCCCAAAGCUGCUAUAACUCAUGAUAUCCCCAACAAAAAUGCAAAGGUUAAGUCUCUGGGACAUCAUAAAGGAGAAUUUCUUGGUCAGUCAGAGGGAGUUACAGAACCUAAUAAAGAACUCUCAGAGGUAAAAAAUAUGUUGGAAAAGCUCAAAAACUCUGAAAGAAAGUUACUACAGGACAAAGAAGGUCUUUCAAACCAGCUCCGAGUACAGACAGAGGUAAAUCGUGAGUUAAAAAAGUUGCUCGUGGCUUCUGUCGGGAAUGAUCUUCAGUAUCACUUUGAACGUCUAGCCCAUGAGAAAAAUCAGCUUAUUUUAGAAAAUGAAGUUCUAGGUCGAAAUACAGCUCAGCUUUCUGAACAGUUAGAACGUAUAUCAAUACAGUGUGUUGUAUGGCGAAGUAAAUUCCUCGCAAGCAGGGUAAUGGCAGAUGAGUUAACCAACUCCAGAGCAGCUUUACAGCGUCAAACCCGUGAUGCACACAGUGCCAUACAAGAUCUCUUGAGUGAACAGUAACAGUUUCGUCAGCAAAUGAUAGCUACCCAAAAAUUACUGGAGGAGCUCUUAGUCUCCUUGCAGUGGGGAAGACAGCAAACUUACUCUCCUAGUGCACAACCCCAUAGCACAGCAGAACUAGCGUUAACAAAUCACAAGUUGGCAAAAGCAGUAAAUUCUCAUAUUCUGGGAAAUGUUGGCAAUAGCAGUCAAAAAAAGAUUCCAUCAACAGUUGAAUUCUGCAGCACCCCAGCUGAGAAAAUGGCUGAAAAGGUUCUACGCAUUUUGGAUCCAGUUACCUGUACAGAGAGUUCAUCUGAUAAUGUGUUUUUUGAGUCUUCACCAACCACCUUACUUGCUACAAAGAAAAAUAUCGGAUCUGAUAAUGUGUUUUUUGAGUCUUCACCAACCACCUUACUUGCUACAAAGAAAAAUAUCGGACGAUUUCACCCCUAUACUAGAUAUGAAAAUAUAACUUUCAAUUGCUGUAAUCACUGCCAGGGAGAACUUAUUGCCCUUUAA